AUUCAUCUUCGGGGCAGGGUGAAAUUCCCGACCGGCGGUGAUGGGGUGGAUGCCCCUCAGCCCGCGAGCCGCAAGGCAGGAUCCGGUGCGAGUCCGGAGCCGACAGUAUAGUCUGGAUGGGAGAAGAUGAAG
rnacentral:ncRNA from 2 species